GAUGAACGCUAGCUACAGGCUUAACACAUGCAAGUCGAGGGGAAACGACAUCGAAAGCUUGCUUUUGAUGGGCGUCGACCGGCGCACGGGUGAGUAACGCGUAUCCAACCUGCCCAUCACUUGGGAAUAACCUUGCGAAAGUAAGACUAAUACCCAAUGACAUCCCACGAAGACAUCUGAAUGGGAUUAAAGAUUUAUCGGUGAUGGAUGGGGAUGCGUCUGAUUAGCUUGUUGGCGGGGUAACGGCCCACCAAGGCAACGAUCAGUAGGGGUUCUGAGAGGAAGGUCCCCCACAUUGGAACUGAGACACGGUCCAAACGCCUACGGGAGGCAGCAGUGAGGAAUAUUGGUCAAUGGGCGAGAGCCUGAACCAGCCAAGUAGCGUGCAGGAUGACGGCCCUAUGGGUUGUAAACUGCUUUUAUAAGGGAAUAAAGUGGGUCUCGUGAGACUUUUUGCAUGUACCUUAUGAAUAAGGACCGGCUAAUUCCGUG
rnacentral:rRNA from 1 species